rnacentral:rRNA from 1 species
UACUCCUACGGGAGGCAGCAGUAGGGAAUCUUCCACAAUGGACGCAAGUCUGAUGGAGCAACGCCGCGUGAGUGAAGAAGGCUUUCGGGUCGUAAAACUCUGUUGUUGGAGAAGAAUGGUCGGCAGAGUAACUGUUGUCGGCGUGACGGUGUCCAACCAGAAAGCCACGGCUAACUACGUGCCAGCAGCCGCGGUAAUACGUAGGUGGCAAGCGUUAUCCGGAUUUAUUGGGCGUAAAGCGAGCGCAGGCGGUUUUUUAAGUCUGAUGUGAAAGCCCUCGGCUUAACCGAGGAAGUGCAUCGGAAACUGGGAAACUUGAGUGCAGAAGAGGACAGUGGAACUCCAUGUGUAGCGGUGAAAUGCGUAGAUAUAUGGAAGAACACCAGUGGCGAAGGCGGCUGUCUGGUCUGUAACUGACGCUGAGGCUCGAAAGCAUGGGUAGCGAACAGGAUUAGAUACCCUGGUAGUCCAUGCCGUAAACGAUGAAUGCUAGGUGUUGGAGGGUUUCCGCCCUUCAGUGCCGCAGCUAACGCAUUAAGCAUUCCGCCUGGGGAGUACGACCGCAAGGUUGAAACUCAAAGGAAUUGACGGA